UACGUAGGGAGCAAGCGUUGUCCGGAUUCACUGGGCGUAAAGGGUGCGUAGGCGGCGCCGUAAGUCAGGUGUGAAAUCUCGGGGCUCAACCCCGAAACUGCACUUGAUACUGCGGUGCUCGAGUACUGGAGAGGAGAUUGGAAUUUACGGUGUAGCAGUGAAAUGCGUAGAUAUCGUAAGGAAGACCAGUGGCGAAGGCGAAUCUCUGGACAGUUACUGACACUGAGGCACGAAGGCCAGGGGAGCAAACGGG
rnacentral:rRNA from 1 species